rnacentral:lncRNA from 1 species
CGGUUGGGGUGGGGACUAAAGCACAGACUGCGGUCCUCCGCCCUAGUCCUGGCCAGGCUGAUAACUGCCCCUUCCGCACAAGGAGAUUUGGACAACAAGGACUCAUGAAGGACAGCACAUGUCAAGGCUGGGGAGAAGAAGAGGAGCCAAGAAGGAGCAGCCAGGGAGUAUACAUUUGUGAUCCAGAAAUACAUUCAGCAUGAGGAACUGCUACCGAAGUAAGACAGCAAAUCAACAAUCUAAGUUUCUUCAUCAAGAAAUUAGAAAACAAAGACCAAAAUCAAACCAAAACAAGCCUGAGGAAGGAACUAAUGAAGGUAAGAGGAGAAAUCAAUGUGAUUGAAAACUAGAAAACGAG